CAAAAGAGAAGCCAAAGAAAUACCCGUGACCCGACCCGACCAUGAGAUGUCAAGUGUCAACCCCUCCCUUGUUUCAGCCUACGGCUCCUUCGGGAGAGCGGCGGCGACCCUGACGUUGUUCGUUGAAGUGGAUCACAGUCCAUCGAUACACUCAUUGAACCUGGUUCAGGUCAUGAAAAGAACAAGGUCCGCCUUAUCCUCAAGAAUCUCUCCAUCCUCCAAAUCGCCACCACUUCCUUCGACGCCUCCAACCCCACAAACACUGCACAAAACCUGCCACCCAAAGCCCACAUCCGUGUCCUCGUGCUAUCGCUCCAGAAAACCAAAACGCAUCGUCGAUUCGCUCAACGGGUUUUCGAAAUCCGACCCUGUGAGGUGGGUCCCGCUCAAUCUUGCUCAGCAAGAGCUCUGCUUGCCUCUCACUUUUCCCACUGGCCAAACCUUCCGAUGGAAGAAGACGGGACCUUUGCAGUACACUGGAGUUGUUGGAUCUCACCUCAUAUCUCUCAAGCACGUCGAAAACGGCGACGUUUGUUAUUGCCUUCACCGCACGGACUCUGAGAUUGAUGGUAGGACUGCUUUGCUUGACUUUCUCAAUGCCCGUGUUUCUCUCACUGACGUAUGGAAGGAGUUUUCCGCUUCGGAUGCCAGGUUUGCGGAGUUAGCGUGCCAUUUGGGGGGUGCCCGAGUGCUUAGACAGGACCCGCUUGAGUGUCUGAUUCAGUUUCUGUGUUCUUCUAAUAACAAUAUUCAAAGGAUUACCAAAAUGGUGGAUUAUAUUUCAUGUUUGGGAAAUUAUUUGGGGACAGUUGGAGGUUUUGAAUUCCAUACUUUCCCCACUAUGGAGCAGCUGUCGUUGAUUUCAGAGGAGGAACUUAGAAAGGCCGGUUUUGGUUACAGGGCCAAAUAUAUAAUUGGCACAGUAAAUUCUUUGCAAGCAAAACCUGAUGGAGGGGAAGAAUGGCUUAAAUCUCUUCGUAUGUUGGAUCUUCAAGAAGUUAUAGACGCCCUUUGUUCAUUACCUGGAGUGGGUCCUAAGGUGGCUGCUUGCAUAGCCCUCUUUUCACUUGAUCAACAUCAUGCCAUUCCUGUUGACACACAUGUAUGGCAGAUUGCAACAAAAUACCUCUUACCCGAUCUUGCAGGUUCCCGAUUGACUCCAAAGCUUAGCGGUCGUGUUGCAGAGGCAUUCGUAAGCAAAUAUGGUAAAUAUGCUGGAUGGGCUCAAACUGUGCUCUUCAUAGCUGAAUUACCUUCACAAAAAGUCCUCCUACCUCCUCAAUUACGUACUGUUGAACAGAGCAAGCAUACAGUGGAAGACUGUGAAAUAGAAAUUGUGUGAGAUCUACAGACGGUACAGCUCUCUGGGUAUAAAUGCAAGAGACUUGAGGAAAGGCAAGCUACCUCCAGUAAUGUACGAGAUAGAACAUGAGGAUGUUACUCUGCUGGGUGGAGUACCAUGUGUUCAAACAGUGUCCGAUCAGCUAAAUGCAGUAUGAAUCGAUAGGCAACGUUAAUGAAUCCUUUGCUUCGGGCUUCGGCAAACUGUUUAGCUCUCAAGCUGAUUUCCCUUCUGGAAAGUCUUGCAGUUCAGUCUGGGACUCACACGGAAUCUCCUGUGUUACAUAGAAAAUUUUUGCAUUGCCAAUUUGCUGAAGCUGGCCUUGGUAUUCGUUCUGCUUUACGUUGGUGAGUGUUUUUGUUUUUCUCUUUACACUGCUAUAAUAUUAUUUUAUUUCCAUGUGACCCCAAAUUUGUUUAAAUUGACAGAAAAUGAGCACAUCAUGUUCUUGUUUCUGUCGCUUUUUUUGUUCCCUUCUGGCAGUUGUGUUAUUCAUUUACCAAUCGCAUAGACUGGGCAUAUGUGCAUGCGUUGGGUAGAUCAUUUGCAGAUCCACUUGGGCAUGCGUCGCUUUUUGGUUCCACCUUUGGGAGUAUUCUUGCACCUUUUUGUUUUGUUUUGUUUUGUUUUGUUUUGUUUGAAGCAAAGCAACCUCAAACGGAGAAGAAGAUUCACGGAAAGGGAAAGGUUUUACAGGACGAGUGAACAAGAUUACAGUGACAAAAGCCUUUCAUGCUAUGCUUUGGGACCAAGGCUUUCAUGUAGGAGGAAGAAUUAUAAAACCUCCCACUUAAGAAACUCCUUGAGGCCUAGAAACCGUCACGCACGACUUCUGAUCAAUGGAGAUGUUAGCUAUAAUAUGAUAAAAGGAAUCGCCUUGGUAAGAAAUUCAGUGACGAGAGCAUUAAUGCUCUGAGGCGUGCCCAUCAUUACAGCACAGUUCAUGACGUUGAGGUUGUUCGGACAUCCAAGUUUCUGAGCAAAAGGCCUCAGAACUAAGAAGAGAGAAACUCAAAGGCACAAUAAGUACUGAGAUUUUUCAAGAUCCUAAUGAGAAUUGUAAUCUGUCAAUGUCAUGAAUAUAAACCAAGAAUCAUGGGGACAUAAGUACUUUGAUUGACAGAAUCUCAACCAAAUCUAGAGCACGUACUGUUAAGAUAUUCCUUUCGUUUUUGGGUCCAUACUAUAUCACUAACCUCCAAAUCGGCCUGACACGCAUCUCGUCACUUGCAACUUGCAAAAGGCCGCUUCUUGUGUUAGAUCAUCGGCCCAUAAACACUUGGUCGCUGUUUCUUUGGAGGCCGUCCGGAUGCAACUUACAUGCAAAGGCCUACCUUCGGUGCUGUACUGUCAGCAAUCUACUAUCCAACGUAGGCACAGCAAAACUUCAUGUGUACAGUGAAAGCAAUACUCAGUUCAAUCACUAUACGAUAAUAAUAGACGCAGCAUGUCAGAUGAACAGUCGACUCACGUGGCCAUGAAAAACAAGAAAAAAAGAAAAACUAUAUAGAGUUUUCAGUCACUUGUAUCAUAGUCCGUGAAUUUAAACAACUGUGAUACUACUUAG